GUGCAAAUGAUGGAAAAAAUUGCAUGCUGUAAACAUCUGAUGAUACUAUGCUUCCAAGGAACCUCUGAUGCAC